UGUGGAUCUGUGCAAGUUUUUGAGAUAAGGUCUCACUCUGUAGUUCUGGCUGGUCCAGAACUUGCAACGUAGACCAGGCUAGUCUUGAACUCACAGACAUUCACCUGCCUCUGUUUCCCAAGGACUGGGAUUAAAGGCUGUUUCUUGAGGACACAGCUGUAUCUAUUAUACCACAACUGAAUGCGUAUCUAGGGCUUCACACAAUGUCUGAGAGGGAUCGGGACUAGAGACUUCUUCAAAUGACCUGUGAUGAUGAGUACAGUGUUAGAAAGGCUGUGGGACUUUAAACAUUUAUCAUUAUUAUCGUGUGUGUAUGUGCAAUGUGUGUGUAUGUACAGGUGUGCCACAGUGCGUGAGUAGA